CACCCUCUAAACGGGCACCUGAUGAUGGAAUGACUCCGCUGGAUUUGUCUUUCCAGCAAUUAGAACGAAUCUCAUGAUAGGUAAGAAGACUGGUGGUGCUGCUGGAAUAAAAGGAGUGAUGGAAGACAGGUGAGGGUGUGAGGAGAAAAGAUUUGGUGAAUCACAGUUAUGUUUCCUGGCAUUAAAUCACCCUUGAAUAUUUCUAUAAUAAAUGAAAUUCAAUAGGGCCUGAAAAGGGGGUCAACCAAGUACUGCGACUUUCACAAUAAAAUUUGUAUGUAACAACUGAGUUUCGUGAUGGACAGAAUGCUAGAAGAGGAUUGAGAAAAGAGCAGCCCAAAAGCCACCUGGAAAAUAACCAAAUAUCAAAAUUCA
rnacentral:lncRNA from 10 species